GCGCCCAUAGCUCAGCCGGAUAGAGUACCUGACUUCGAAUCAGUGGGUCGGGGGUUCGAACCCCUCUGGGCGCACCA
rnacentral:tRNA from 1 species